GUGGGCUGCGAGGGGCCGCGGGCGCCGUCACAGGGGCACGAGCCCGACGAGUCCGAGGAGGAGGAGGCCGGGGACGUGGAGUCCGGGUGCCCGGCCCAACCCCAGCCCUGGGGUGUGAUGGCUGGAGCUCCAGCAACCAUGUUGUGACCGGGAGGCAAUCUCAAGGACGGAAGUCACGCACUGAGGGUGGUGGAGCAGAAAGAAGCCCGAGGCAUCAGUGACGACACAGAAGUGCCACACUAGCCCCGGACUGUCUGCCCAUGAAUGGGCGGAUGUUUCCCUGGAGGAAGGUCCCUCGUGAUGUGCCGCCAGCUCUGUUCCCAGUCUUGGCCGGGGCAGCCUGUGGACUUGAAUGAAGAUACGAACGGACCUCAUGUAGGGUGCUGGUCAUGACUCUGGGCACAGCCAGGGAAGCCCAAUGACAAGGCCGUGCCAGGCAGAGCGCCAUCAGUGUCACCGGGAGGCCCAGAGACUGACAGCCACCAGGACGAGGUCACAGAGCAGCUGCUGGAACUGGAGCUCCCUGCCCCGGUCUUCCCAGGCCUUCUGUAACGUCAGUGCCCAGCGCUGCCUGCAUAGCCAUUCAGGGCACAAACCCAGGACUUCGGCCCACUGUUCUCCCCUUGCUCAGGUGGGAACCAGGCCCAGAGAGGCCCAUCCUCUGCCUAAGGUCCCCAGAGCCAGGAUUUGACCCCACAAGGGUCGCGCACCACACCACCGGGAAACUCCCCCCGCCCGGGGCCCAGGCUCCAGCAGGGACCAGUCGCUGCCCGCUGGGAGCUCGAGCCGGAGGAGAAAGAGGAGCCAGUGGGCUCUGGGUUUGCGGUGGCCUGGUGUGCUGGGAGCCCGUGGGCGACAGACCUGCUCCCUGGCUGGUCAGUGGGGCGGGUUGCAGAAGGAAAGGAGGGGCCUGAAAUUGCGGGGUUUCCUCCAAGCGGAGGUGGGACAUUCCAGGCAGCGGGGAAAGGUGGGAGCCCAAGUCUGGGAGUGGAAGGCCCAGGGCAACGCCAUGCGGGCUGGGACCCCAGGACGGGGAUGGGGACGGGUGGAAAGGGUGUGGAUGAGCAGACGGGAGCUGGAAUUCCUGUUGGGUGAGGAGUUUGGGCUCAGGGAGGCAAUGAGUCCACAGAAAUUCUGAGGAAGGAGGGAAGAAUGUGGCCAUUGUUGGCUGGAGAAGCACAGGGAUGGGGAGCUGGCUGGGGGCCACAGGUACCCAGCAGGCAGGGCAUGGAGGGAACCCCCCUGCUCUCACUCCAACAAGAAAGCUGAGCUGAGGAGGCUGGUGUGCCAGGGCCCGGUAGCGGCAGCUUAAGCCUAGAGCCAGCCUGCCUGGGCUCAAUCCCCUUGAGCCUCAGUCUUAUCAUCUGUGAAAUGGGUUUCUUUGCUGAGAUGAUUAGGGCUGGCACCAUGUGUUCAGCUCGUGGCACUCCACAAAUCCUGCCUGCCGCCCUGCUGGCGAGGAGUGACCGUCCGAAGUCCUGCAGCUCAUGGGAGGGACGAAGGGGAGAAUAAGUGGUGCCCACUCUUGCUGGAAUGCAAACAAGCGUGGGGGGUGGUUCUGCAAAGUCUCUCUCCACCCUUCUUCCCCUCCUUCCCCUCCUUCCCUUUUUUCUUUACUUUACCAAAGCAAGGAAUGCUGUCACAGAAAAUUGAGAUGAGCUCUAGCUGGUUUGGCAGGGUGGAUAGAGCGUCAGCCUGCGGGCUGAAGGGUCCCAGGUUCGAUUCCAGUCAAGGG